ACUGUCAUCGCUGUCAUUCAACAUUAUUAUCAAUUUGCACGUUGACUCGUUUCUACCCGACGUUCGUACCCGCUCAAGGAACAUUGUUUCAGUUUAUAAACGACUAUUAUCUUAUUGUUACCAUUAAUAUCGCGGUGCCCGCAUGCUUGAUAUCCGGAGGGGCCGGGUACGUGACCAUAGACAAUGAUCGGGUUGCACUCCUAGAGGGUUAUUGUUAAUUUUUUUUCGGCGGGCCACACCGUGCUUAGUACGUUGACCUUGUUUUUUUGUUUGUAAAAUCGAAGGGUGGAAUUUCAUUGUUUUUUCAUACGCUAUGGCAGUGUUUAAUGGUGUUUGUGAUGGUUAAUUUUGGUAUUAGCUCGUAAUCUUUUAUUGAAAUAAAGUUAACGAGCGAAUAGGAACACAAAAUGGUCAUUUGGAAAACUCGAUCACUUUACAGAUGUGGUCCCGUAGUGGAAGGGACCAACCCAGCCUCCAAGGCAGGUGAUGAAAACUGCCGUGAGAAAGACCAGCAGACGGAAUACUGUAGAAGAGUGGCCGUGUGUUGUGAAGUAUGCCACCAACACCUGAAGCGAUUGAUGACCACAACCAUUCGGUCAAGAGCUAUACCGACAAAGCAGAAGCUGUUGGGCGCGUAUCAUCGGUGACUCUCCUCACGUGUCCCAUCAGUCACGUGUUCCCGUUUGUAGAGCGGGACAACCGUCAAACUACACCAAUAAAAAUAAACCUUUAAUGCCGUGUGGACUGUGAGCUCGACCGUCCAACAAAGACGGCAACAAAUAUCCUCAUGAUCACUAGAGCUAAGCACAAUUUUCAGUUUUCUUUUCUAAUAAAUUUGUUUAUAGUUUC